rnacentral:tRNA from 1 species
GCCGGGAUGGUCUAGUGGUUAUGGCGUCUGCCUUGCACGCAGAAGAUCGCGAGUUCAAUCCUCGCUCCUGGUA